rnacentral:rRNA from 1 species
UGGGGAAUUUUGGACAAUGGGCGAAAGCCUGAUCCAGCAAUGCCGCGUGUGUGAAGAAGGCCUUCGGGUUGUAAAGCACUUUUGUCCGGAAAGAAAUCCUUGGCUCUAAUACAGUCGGGGGAUGACGGUACCGGAAGAAUAAGCACCGGCUAACUACGUGCCAGCAGCCGCGGUAAUACGUAGGGUGCAAGCGUUAAUCGGAAUUACUGGGCGUAAAGCUGCGCAGGCGGUUUGCUAAGACCGAUGUGAAAUCCCCGGGCUCAACCUGGGAACUGCAUUGGUGACUGGCAGGCUAGAGUAUGGCAGAGGGGGGUAGAAUUCCACGUGUAGCAGUGAAAUGCGUAGAGAUGUGGAGGAAUACCGAUGGCGAAGGCAGCCCCCUGGGCCAAUACUGACGCUCAUGCACGAAAGCGUGGGGAGCAAACAGGAUUAGAUACCCUGGUAGUCCACGCCCUAAACGAUGUCAACUAGUUGUUGGGGAUUCAUUUCCUUAGUAACGUAGCUAACGCGUGAAGUUGACCGCCUGGGGGAGUACGGUCGCAAGAUUAAAACUCAAAGGAAUUGACGGGGUCAUAGCUGUUUCCU